UCAUGGCGCCUCAUCUACCCAUCACUACUGAUUACAGUACAAUUCAGGAUCAGGCGGUCUCAAGGUCAUAAAACAGGCAAGGUAGUUAUCAGACAGACUCGGUCGACAAGGCAGGCAAGGAUCAGGCCGGAGUUGGUAACAGUGGUCAAAAACAAGGUCAGGACCAAGAAACAGAACAAGAACAAGAACGCUGUAUAGUGGAGGGACCACUGCAGGUCCAUGACUGGGUGUUCAUCAGAGUCAUAAAAUGCAAGAAUUGGACCUCAUCCCAAUGGGAGGCCUGUACAGAGUGACGCUGACAACUGGCUUCUACGUGAUAACACCACAGCAGACGACUUCCAAGGGUCAGCAAGAGAUUGACCUGAAGGAAAGUGAUCGGAUCUGGACAUCAGACGUUCCCAUGGACAAAAAGCUAUGGACUACAGGCCAGAACGUGGCACUAUCCCUAUUUCCAUGGUUGGGGGUAGGAAAAAUCAUGCUAAGAGUUAAAACCAUAAAUUACUGCAUGACCCAACAGGCACUCCGUGACCUACAGCACAUAUCCAAUGUGCAGACGGGUGACGUAAUGAAGGACAAAUCCUGGUUUGAUUGGUUUAGGUCCGGCACAGGAAUGAUAUCCUGAAGAUCUUUGAACCGGUUCUUGUGAUUCUCCUGGUUCUGAUGCUGAUUGUGUUCUGCGUAAUUCCCUGUUUGAGGGCCAUGAUCAUCAGGCUGGUGAAUCAAGGCCUUCUCAGGGUGUGCGCAGUCAUGCACUCUUGACAAAUACACUAUACACCUUUAAAGCUUCAUAACUGAAGAGAACCUCCACGAUGUCCACGGAAAUGGACGCUAAGCUGUGAAUUUUGUGCUUCUGUGCUUUUGACCCUACGAUGUUGCAACCCUUUUUCCAUGUUUUAUGAUGACUGUGUGAAAAUCGAAAGAAGUUGUGCUGUUCUGAUGUAUGCAUGAUUGUUAAAUGAAUGUUUCAAUGUUAAACAGGGAAAUGUUGGAAAAAUACUCCAUUUAAUCAUUGAAACAUAUUUUGCUGAAGCCUCGUUAGCUGUGCUAUAGCUUUGAAGUUUCCUCCCUUCUGCUUUGCAAGAAAUAGGGAGUACCAGUGUGUAGCAUUGUUAUCUGAUGAGCCCAAUGCUUGCUUUGUGCAGAAAAUAUUUACCACGUACUGUGUGACUAUGCAGCUCCCAGAAUGCAAUACAUAUUAUGAGCUGAAUCCUUGUCUUCUCUUCAGUGAGAGGAAGUUGCCUUUGCUGUAAACUGCUCACUCCUUGCAAGUAAAAUCCUGAAGAAGGUC